ACAUGCGCAUUGCGAGUAUGCGCAGACAGGUGUCUACGGAGUGGAAAGAAGUUGUUGCAUCUGAUAAUUCUUCAAUCGUGUAGCAGCAACUGCAGCUUACAUGGAAUGAGGAUUAUCGGAUUCAUCUACACUCACUGAUCAUCCAAGGUGAAUUGAUGACCUCAAGCAAAUGGAUGUUGUUGUCAUCUGAAGAGAAGGUUGUCCUGGGCCCAUGUUUAGAGGCAUUUGGGGCAUAUCAGACACAUAUCAGAAUCAAGCUGCAUGCACACUUGAGUUUAUUCAGAGAGAAGUUGUGGGCAUCAGUCCGGAAACUGGAUCAAAAAUUUGCUGCUGGAAUGUGAGACAAAUAAAGGCAUGGAAUGAACCCAAAUGUAUGAACACUGCUACGAAAACUAAUGGACUUUGAAUGGCUUGCCAGUUAAUUCCAAUGGAAUUGAAGAAGAGACUCUGACAAGAUUUUCAAGUUUGUGUUUAAUUUAAAAGUUUAUCUUCAUAGAUAAGCAAUUUAAAGGUAGGCACAGUUAAAACUAUUUCUUGUGUGUUUGUUUAAACUGUAAAUUUAUGACUGAAGUUUGGUCACUAUGUAGUAAUGUGUUCCUUUGUGGUUAAUUAAAUGCUGC